rnacentral:rRNA from 1 species
GGCAUCUUUACUUUUUUAAAAGACCUUCUUUGAAGGUAUGCUUAAGGAGGGGCUUGCGACACAUUAGUUAGUUGGUAGGGUAAAGGCCUACCAAGACUAUGAUGUGUAGCUGGACUGAGAGGUUGAACAGCCACAUUGGGACUGAGACACGGCCCAAACUCCUACGGGAGGCAGCAGUAGGGAAUUUUCGGCAAUGGAGGAAACUCUGACCGAGCAACGCCGCGUGAACGAUGAAGUACCUCGGUAUGUAAAGUUCUUUUAUUAAGGAAGAAAAAAGAGUGGAAAAACUCCCUUGACGGUACUUAAUGAAUAAGCCCCGGCUAAUUAUGUGCCAGCAGCCGCAGUAAUACAUAAGGGGCGAGCGUUAUCCGGAAUUAUUGGGCGUAAAGGGUGCGUAGGCGGUUUAAUAAGUCUAUAGUUUAAUUUCAGUGCUUAACGCUGUUGUGCUAUAGAAACUGUUUUACUAGAGUGAGUUAGAGGCAAGCGGAAUUCCAUGUGUAGCGGUAAAAUGCGUAAAUAUAUGGAGGAACACCAGAGGCGUAGGCGGCUUGCUGGGACUUUACUGACGCUGAGGCACGAAAGCGUGGGGAGCAAACAGGAUUAGAUACCCAGGUAGUCCACGCCCGUAAACGAUGAGUACUAAGUGUCGGGUAAAACCGGUACUGAAGUUAACACAUUAAGUACUCCGCCUGAGUAGUACGUACGCAAGUAUGAAACUUAAAGGAAUUGACGGGACUCCGCACAAGCGGUGGAUCAUGUUGUUUAAUUCGAAGAUACACGAAAAACCUUACCAGGUCUUGACAUUUUCUUGCGAAGUUAUAGAAAUAUAAUGGAGGUUAUCAGGAAAACAGGUGGUGCAUGGUUGUCGUCAGCUCGUGUCGUGAGAUGUUAGGUUAAGUCCUAAAACGAGCGCAACCCUUGUCGUUAAUUGCCAGCAUGUAAUGAUGGGGACUUUAACGAGACUGCCAAUGAAAAAUUGGAGGAAGGUGGGGAUUACGUCAAAUCAUCAUGCCCCUUAUGAUCUGGGCUACAAACGUGAUACAAUGGUUGAUACAAAGAGUAGCUGAAACGCAAGUUCUUAGCCAAUCUCACAAAAUCAAUCUCAGUUCGGAUUGAAGUCUGCAACUCGACUUCAUGAAGUUGGAAUCGCUAGUAAUCGCGAAUCAGCAUGUCGCGGUGAAUACGUUCUCGGGGUUUGUACACACCGCCC